GAAAGGAUAACAAUCAACUGCCUCAGCCUGUAGCAGUAAAGCUAGAGAUUGCUGGAGUGCUCAGUUGCGGUAUCUGCUUCCCACAGCCUCUUGAGUGAAUAUCUUCUUUCCAAAUUUUGUGAGAGAUAUUGUAAUGUACAAAUUUUAAUUCAGAUCCAUAUAGGGAACUGCUAAAGCUGGUGUUGAUUAUUGGUAAUUCAGCACAGAAGAGAUGAUGCACUUUAAGCAGGACUUGAUUCUUUUCCUCAAAAACAAUGAAAUUAAUAUUAUAGAAAGAAAAUAAUUGAAUCAUAUUUUUGAAAUAUGCUGAUGGAGGGAUAGUUUUCCGGUGACACUGCAAAGAUCUUAGCCCUUAACUUUCUACCAACCUUCUUGCUAAACUCCAGUUGGGUAACUAAAGGCUACUUACCUAUUCAGCAAAUAUUCAAUUAUUCUUUAUAGGCUAAAUUACAGCCUCAGUCAUAGGAGUGUGGACCCUAUUAUGAACUGCUUAUGUGAGAAAUCUAGAUUGUGUGCUUCUCAUGAUAAUCUAAUGCCUGAUGAUCUGCCAUUAUCUCCCAUCACCCCCACAUGGGACCAUCUAUUUGCAGAAAAACAAAUUCAGGGCUCCCACUGAUGCUACAUUAUGGUCAUCACUUCAUAAUCUCCUUGAGUGAGGGCUGUACCAUCUCUAUCACCACCUUAACCCAGACUAUGAGCUUCUUUGGAUGGCUGGUGAACUCUGGCUAUUCCACUGCCCUCAGCACUGCCACUCCUGUCCUGAUGGCCCCUGGAGACUCAUACUGUGGUAAUGGUGAGCACAUCAACUGCUUUCAUCUGAAGAGCUGGUGCAGGCUCUGACGAAGCCAUGAUGUGUGUUACUUGCACCAGAGCCACUCACCUCUGCACUGCCAGUGGAUCCCUUAUGGAGUCCAAUGCUCACUCUUCCAAUGUAUUUUUGUCUAUCAAAGGUCACUUGGCUCUCUGCUCUUCUACGUAGCUUUAACAUAUUGCACUAUAGCUAUUUCUCAAGUUGUAGAUGUCAUUAGACUACAAAUUACCGCUGGGCAUACUAAUUAUCACUUCACCUCCACUGCUAACCACCAGGUCUGGAAUGUACUAAGCAGUCAAUAAAUAUUUGAGGAAUUGAACUUAA